GUUGGAAAAAUGAUGAAUUCACAUUUUUGCCGUUUACCCGUCAGACUGUGAAGUGGUGAAACUGUGACUACUGAAUUACCAGC
rnacentral:snoRNA from 1 species